AUGGGAGAGAUGCCACCAAAACAAGGCUGUAAGGAGAAGAAGAACUUCCGCAGUAGUGAAAUUGAGGGCCCACGCUUCAUUGUGAGUUCUCCCGAGCUACUGUCAUACUCUGUUAAAACCUGUGACUAUGCAGACACAGAUGGAAGCAAUGGUCUUCAGACUUGCCUACUACCUUCAUCUCAGCAACUCCCGGACAUGUGUCGCUUAAAAUAUUAACACUUCAUUCAGUCGUCUGUGGAAAUCUUGUAUCUCUAAACAUUUUCUCAGGUAUAUGGAAAGUUAUUCAUCAUGUUUUUAGUUCAAGGGUGUGAUUUCUCCUGCUAUAAAUUUGCUGCGAUGACUGAUAGUGAACACUAUCUGGAGGUUCCACAAAAAAAGGUGUAUAAUAUAAGAACAUAAAUCAUAUGCAAGUAUGUAGACAAGGACAGUUUACUCCACAUUUACCUGACAGCUGUACAAACCAGUACUUUGCAAUAUUUCACCUGCAAGAUAUAUGAUAAACUCAUAAAAUAUGAUGCAAUGAUGGCAAUAAUUUAAAGAACCACCUGGACCUUGUCAUGUUUCGUAUUGUAGUGUUGCUUCUUUGAAAGCCAGAAGCUCAUGCUUAGACGUUAGAAAAAGCAUGCUGAGGCCUGUACUGAAGCUUGUUUUUAGUGCUUUUUGCCUUCAGCAAGUGAAAUGCAUGAUUAUUUGGAUUGACUUUCCAAAAAGUAGGAAAGCAUGUAUAUGCAGUAGCUUGUGAAGUGGAUGUCAGAAUCAGAAUCUAGUAUUUAUUUUUUAGUAGGUUUUCACAUGCAAGGAAUUUGCUUUUUGUGCAUAACAUAGUCCCAAAGAUGUGUGUACUUAACAAAGAGAUGCAUGAUGUUAAGAUGGAAAAAAAUAAAAGUUGUGGCUUGUUGUUUUAUUUAUGGAAAGCCUGAAUUGAAGCAUUGGACCAGGAAGUAGUCAGUACAUUUGUUCAGCAGCAGGCGGCGCCACCACCAAUGAAACGCUGCCCCUGCGGUUUCAGCCAAUCCCUGUGAGUUGUUGUAUCUGUAAUCCAGCCCCUCAAAUUUAGGAGAAAGAAAGACGAGAACUAGAGUGAGACGGAGGAGAGUUUGAUGUCAGAAUGAGUCGGCAACAUAACAGUCCAGCAAUGGAAAACAAUGACAGAUAGACUCCGUAUAAGUUAGGGAGUGGAGGUCAGCUGUGAGUGAAGCAGAAGAAGAA
rnacentral:lncRNA from 1 species